UACAGAGGUCUCAAGCGUUGUUCGGAUUCAUUGGGCGUAAAGGGUGCGUAGGUGGCGGGGUAAGUCAGGUGUGAAAUCUCGGAGCUCAACUCCGAAACUGCACUUGAUACUGCCUUGCUUGAGUACUGGAGAGGAGAUUGGAAUUUACGGUGUAGCAGUGAAAUGCGUAGAUAUCGUAAGGAAGACCAGUGGCGAAGGCGAAUCUCUGGACAGUUACUGACACUGAGGCACGAAAGGCCAGGGGGAGCAAAACGGGG
rnacentral:rRNA from 1 species